rnacentral:rRNA from 1 species
AACGGCGAGUGAAGCGGGAAGAGCUCAAAUUUGAAAUCUUCAAGGUUCUACCUUGACGAAUUGUAGUUUAAAGAAGUGUUUUCUGUUAGAUGAGUAGCAAAAGUUCCUUGGAAUGGGACAUCAUAGAGGGUGAGAAUCCCGUAUUUGGUUAUUCAUUCUAGCUUUGUGAUACACUUUCAAAGAGUCGGAUUGUUUGGGAAUGCAGUCCAAAAUGGGUGGUAAAUUUCAUCUAAAGCUAAAUAUUGGCGAGAGACCGAUAGCGAACAAGUACCGUGAGGGAAAGAUGAAAAGAACUUUGAAAAGAGAGUUAAACAGUACGUGAAAUUGUCAAAAGGGAAGCGUUUGACACCAGUGUUGUUUUUCCGAAAAUCAAUUACGAAUGGCUUGAUUUUGUGUUGUAUUGACCUUAUCAGCUUUCUGCACUUUUUUCGAGUCUUUCUUAAUGCACUUUUCGGUUAACAAGUCAACAUCAAUUUCUUUUGUUGUAAAAGAGUAUUCGGAAGGUGGCUUUCUUUUCGGAGAAAGUGUUUAUAGCCCUAUACUUCUACAAUCGGAGAGAUUGAGGUCUGCAGCGUAGAUCCUUCGGGGUUAGAUACAUUUGUGCUAAGUUGUAGCUUUUCAUAGACAACUUGUUGACUAUGUUUAGUCAUGCGGCUUACUCGCUUAUGCUAUUUACCUAC